rnacentral:rRNA from 1 species
CCUACGGGUGGCAGCAGUGGGGAAUAUUGGACAAUGGGCGAAAGCCUGAUCCAGCCAUGCCGCGUGUGUGAAGAAGGCCUUCGGGUUGUAAAGCACUUUCAGUGGGGAAGAAAGCCUUGGGGCUAAUACCCUCGAGGAAGGACAUCACCCACAGAAGAAGCACCGGCUAACUCCGUGCCAGCAGCCGCGGUAAUACGGAGGGUGCGAGCGUUAAUCGGAAUUACUGGGCGUAAAGCGCGCGUAGGCGGUCUGAUAAGCCGGUUGUGAAAGCCCCGGGCUCAACCUGGGAACGGCAUCCGGAACUGUCAGGCUAGAGUGCAGGAGAGGAAGGUAGAAUUCCCGGUGUAGCGGUGAAAUGCGUAGAGAUCGGGAGGAAUACCAGUGGCGAAGGCGGCCUUCUGGACUGACACUGACGCUGGGGUGCGAAAGCGUGGGUAGCAAACAGGAUUAGAUACCCUUGUAGUC